rnacentral:rRNA from 5 species
ACGGGUGAGUAACGCGUGGGAAUCUACCCAUCUCUACGGAACAACUCCGGGAAACUGGAGCUAAUACCGUAUACGUCCUUCGGGAGAAAGAUUUAUCGGAGAUGGAUGAGCCCGCGUUGGAUUAGCUAGUUGGUGGGGUAAUGGCCUACCAAGGCGACGAUCCAUAGCUGGUCUGAGAGGAUGAUCAGCCACACUGGGACUGAGACACGGCCCAGACUCCUACGGGAGGCAGCAGUGGGGAAUAUUGGACAAUGGGCGAAAGCCUGAUCCAGCCAUGCCGCGUGAGUGAUGAAGGCCCUAGGGUUGUAAAGCUCUUUCAACGGUGAAGAUAAUGACGGUAACCGUAGAAGAAGCCCCGGCUAACUUCGUGCCAGCAGCCGCGGUAAUACGAAGGGGGCUAGCGUUGUUCGGAAUUACUGGGCGUAAAGCGCACGUAGGCGGAUACUUAAGUCAGGGGUGAAAUCCCGGGGCUCAACCCCGGAACUGCCUUUGAUACUGGGUAUCUCGAGUCCGGAAGAGGUGAGUGGAAUUCCGAGUGUAGAGGUGAAAUUCGUAGA